CUCAGUUGAAACUCAGAAAAAGCUCCUGACACUUCAUAGAAAACCCGAUGUUGGUGUCAGAAGGGAUAUAACAGCAUUAUCUUGGAAGGCUGAGGAUGCAACUUUCAAAAAAGCUGCUAAAAACAUGCUCAACAACAGAAAAGUUUGGUGACGCAGAGACUGAUGGAGAAUAUACAUGGAAAGUGAAUUUCAAAAUUGAUUCUCCACAUCAGAAGGCUGAUAUUAAGCGCUAAGCUCAACCAAUCAAGGAACAGACGUAAUACCAUAGGUGCUACAUGGCCUAUCAAAUUGAAACAACACCUCUCAGAUAUUAAAUAUAAAGUACUUAAAUAUAAAGAACACGAUGGCCUAAAUAUUUGCAAUAAUCCAGCCAAGGACCUAAGUAUGUGUUUAAUUUUACGCAAUCAAGUAUUUUAAAU